rnacentral:rRNA from 1 species
GACGAACCGUACAAACGUUAUUCGGAAUCACUGGGCUUAAAGGGUGCGUAGGCGGCCAUGUAAGUGAGGUGUGAAAUCCCUCGGCUCAACCGAGGAACUGCGCUUCAUACUGCAUGGCUUGAGUGCGGCAGAGGAGACUGGAAUUCCUGGUGUAGCAGUGAAAUGCGUAGAUAUCAGGAGGAAUACCGAUGGCGAAGGCAGGUCUCUGGGCUGACACUGACGCUCAUGCACGAAAGCGUGGGGAGCAAACAGG